AUUAUAUAAAUAAAAAGUAUUCAAUGCUUUGUGAAAAUGAACACCGCCAUAGCAGAACUAUGCCCUUUUGUUUCUGGCUUUCUGUUUCCAUAGCAAUAUAAUAUUUAAACUGAAAAAUGAACAGGAAACAGCAUUACAUUACCCUUAUUUAUAAAUAAUUUUAGAAAAGGAUGAACUUUAUAAAGAUAUAACCAGGUCCCCAAUGCCCCAUUUUCUACCCCCAAUUAAGGGGUAAUGAACCUGAAAAAGUUAUUUUUAUUUAAAGAAAAGAAAUCCUUUAUACAAGUUCUCUUGUGAUGGAAAAGGGCUGCAUAUUGAGUCCCAUAGCUACUCUAUAGAAUUCUCAGAAUGGAAUGUGUCACAAUCCACC